UACAGAGGGCUCAAGCGUUAAUCGGAAUCACUGGGCUUAAAGGGUCCGCGAGUGGAUGGAAGAUCUUGUGAAAUACCACGGCUCAACCGUGGAACUGCUCGGUAAACUUCCAAUCUUGAACACGGUAGGGGCCAUCGGAACUCUAGGUGGAGCGGUGAAAUGCGUAGAUAUCUAGAGGAACGCCAGAGGCGAAGGCGGAUGGCUGGGCCGUUGUUGACGCUCAGGGACGAAAGCAUGGGUAGCGAACGGGAUUAGAUACCCCCGUAGUCC
rnacentral:rRNA from 1 species